UUUUUUUUUUGAGCACUCCAUAGCCUCAGUAAUAGUAUCAGGCCUUGGGAUCUGUUAAGCACUGAGUGAGUGUUCAUCCCUGCACUGGUGCUCUGGUGAGCACUGAAUGACCUGUCCUAAGUACCUUAUCAACACUUAUGUCAGUAAACCGAAUGGUUCCCAGAGGUGAAAUGGGAUCUGCUAUAGUUGAAGUGCCGUGCACACAAACACAGUAGUUGUUUGGCUCAUGACUGGUGUGACCUCCGCACAGAUGGGUCCUUCCAAAUAGCCUUGGAAGGCUCUUGUCCUAGUCUGGAGGGCCUUCCUUGGUUCCUUCUGCUGCCUGGACACACAGCUUCUCUGUUUAGCUUCUACCCAACAUAUCCUGAUGCAUUUGUUCUGUACAAAGACUAUAGCUUCCUCUAAGAGAUCCAAUAGGGCAACAGCAAUUUACCUACCUGGCUACUGUUUUCUGGUUUUGCUAAUUCAUUGUUCCGGGUUACCUCUCUGAUUUCUCCUUGCAGUGUGGUGACACAUGGAUGCACAAAUGUUCCUAUUACCUCUCUGCUCCACGCAUUUCCUACGCGGAACACUUUGUGGAGAAAGAACAAGAACAAAAGCUUGUUUUCCUGUAAGGCCUCCUGUCAAGGUUGCCUGGCUCCUCUGUUCUUCAUCUCCUGGCAAGAUGGAGAUAGAGGAGACCAAAGAUGCACCGGCAGGGAAUCGAGGGCAGGAGGUGCGCCCUGAAACACACUCCCUCCUCAGAAACUAAGUUUCUCCACCUCAGGCAGAUAUGACAAGGCUUCCUCUCUUUGAUGUCAUAUAUGUGCAUGAGCACUUUGCUUCUGUUUGAGCCAUGAGACUUUCCUCAUCUGUGAAAUGGGAGUGUAACACCCAGGUUGGGUGGGAAAAUCAAAUGAGAUAAUGUACUUGAUGCAUAGUGAGUUUUAGAGUAACAGCUGAUUGUGUCUCCCAACCUCCCUGUCCUGUCCUCCACAGAGCCUACUGGGGUUUCAACAGCCCCUGCAUAGAGGAAAGGGAUGCCAUACUCAGUAUUCCUGCUGCCGGUCCUCUCUUCCUGGUUAAACAGGAACAGUAAGAUCAAAGAUUGGAUUCUGAGGUACCAUCUCACCAGGUCAUUUCAGCCUGUGUGGGUACUUCCUUCUCCUGGCUGUCAUCGGCCCAAUGCCUGAACACCAAGCUACCUCAGGCAUCAGUGCAACCCCCAACGUGGGUAUCUGAAACCCUGAUGUUGAGGGGUGUCUCUGCAGCAUCUGGCCUCCGGCCUCAGCAGAACUCCUGGCAGAGGUGGUGGUAUAGCGUCCCAGGCAGUGUCGCAGAGCUGGGGAGGGGAAGGGCAGAGCCUGAGCUGCAGUCCUCCUUCUCCCUCCCUGGCCCUCGGUGGUUGCUAAGCAGUUUCUAUGGCAGCAGCAUCCUCAGACUCAACUUUCACCCUCAUUUAGAGCCAAUUAAGGUAAAAUAGUGAGGGGCGGGAGCGGAGUGGCAACAUAACGGGAGGCAGGGAAGCACUUGGAGGCUGUGAGCAAAGCUUUACUCUGUCAGACGCAAAGGCACAGACAUCCAGACGCAGCUGCAGUCGUCUUGCCUCGCUGCAGCCUGCUGAGCUUGCUGAGCCUGCCGAGCAGCCGCACUGAAGACCUCAGGACCCUUGCCAGCACUGGAGAUCUGAGAUCGUCAGGUGUGCCUUUCCCACUCUCUGCUCCAGCCUGGCCUGCUGCCCCAGCCCCUGACAUCCCAUCACGCCGAUUCUCUGGCUGCUUGGCACCUGUGUUUAUUUACUUUCUUACUAUCCACACUUGAUUGGAAGGAAGAAAGGGAAAGUUUUUAAAAAAUGCCCAUCGCACAGUUGCUGGAACUAUGGAAGAAGAUCGAGGUGGAACCCAUGGAGACAGAGACCGCCGAAGAGGAACUCGCCUUGGAUGUUGAGCCCACCCCAGAAGAUACCACAGAAGAAGGCAAAGGAGACACAACCUCCUCAGCUGAGACGCAGCCAGCCUCCUCAUCGUCCGCAGAGCUCUUCCGGUGCGAGCUGAGCACCUCUCCAUGUCACAGAGCAUAGCAGAGCCAACUCUCCUGCCUCCCGGGACUGACCUGCCCCAUCUGCAUUGUCUUUACAGACCAGGAACAAGGAAAUACGUGGAGCUGGAGAGUGAACAGGAACUUGAAAACGCACAGAAUCUUGUCUGUUCCUGGGCACAGCCACGUCAGCAGGAGGCAAGAGGAGGCAGGGCUCUCUUUCAGAGAGAGAGAGAGAGAGAGAGAGAGAGAGAGAGAGAGAGAGGGAGAAAGAGAAGGAGAGAGACAAAGAUGAGUGGAAAGGAUGAAGAGGGCUUAGUUUUCUAUUGCUGUGAAGAGAUGCCAUGCCCAAGGCAGGUCUUUUAAAGGAAAGCAUUUAAUUGGGGCUGGCCUACAUUCAGAGAUUUCGUUCAUUAUCAUCACGGCAGGAAGAAUGUUGGCACACAGACAGACAUGGUGCUGGAGGUAGCUGAGAGUUCUACAUCCGGAUCAGAAGGCAGCAAGAAAAGACAGUGAAUCAUUAGGCCUAGCUUGAGCUUCUGAAACCUCAAUCCCCUCUCCCCAAGUGAGGAACUUCCUCUAACAAGGCCACGCCCACUCCAACGAGGCCACGCCCACUCCAACCAGGCCAUGCAUCCUGAUAGUGCCACUCCCUGGAGACCAAGCAUUCAAAUUUAUGAGCUGAUGGGGCCAUUCCUGUUCAAACCACCACAGAAGAUGACAGAAGGGAGCAAGAGGUCUGAACUCUAGCCCGGCUCCCACGUGGAGCUUGGACCAUCCAAACAGUGUACAAGAUUUGCAAAUUAGCUACUCAGCUAUGGGUAAGAAGGAGCUGGUAUAGGCUGGCCUGGGCGCCGUGUGUGGAAGGCAGCGUCCAGUACAGAUAGCAAGAGGAGCUGUUGCCUUAUUUUCUACUGCUGUGAAGAGACACCAUGACAAAGGCAACUUAUAAAAAGAAACAUUUAAUUGAAGGCUUGCUUACUGUUUCAGAAGGUUAGGCCAUCAUGGCAGGGAGCAUGGCAGCAGGCAGGCAGCCAUGGUGCCAGGGCAGUAGUUGAGAGCUCAUACCCAUGAGACAGUGUAGAUGCCCGACUCACCAUCAAGGACGCCACAACAGGAUUCUUCUGCAUACAUUUAUUGGGAGAGCUUGAUAGCGAAAGCGAAAGAUCCUGAGCCCAAAAACCAGUGCUGCUUAUAGGCCUAGGAUAGGCUUGUCUACACCUGAUUGGUUAUGCUUUCAGUACCUCAUUUACAUGCCUCGGGCCAACUCGGCAAAAAACUCUACCGCACAUGCGCACAUUGGUUGUUUACCCAUAUUCACGGGCAUCUGCUUAUUGAAACCAGCACCAUCUUGUAAUGGCGUUUAUUGGCUUCCCACAAGGCAGAGGCAGGGGUAAGAGGAAGGGAGAGGGAGGGGACUGAGGAGAGGGAGGAAUUGAGGAAUUGGGGCCUGGUGAAGGCUUUUGAAAGAUAAAAGCCAAAACCCACUCCAACAGGGCCACACCUCCUCUUCCAAGGCAACACCUCCUAAUCCUUACUCAGCCCACUAAUGGGGAAUAAAACUUCUAACUAUAUGCGC
rnacentral:lncRNA from 1 species